rnacentral:rRNA from 1 species
GCGGUACAGGUGUAGCAAUACAUGCUGACGAGCGGCAGACGGGUGAGGAACACGUACGCAACUUUCCUCUAACUGGGGCACAACCUUGAGAAAUCAGGGCUAAUUCCCCAUAACAUUGCGAAAGGGCAUCUGAUUGCAAUUAAAGAUUUAUUGGUUAGAGAUGGGCGUGCGUCUGAUUAGGUAGUUGGUGGGGUAACGGCUCACCAAGCCAACGAUCAGUAGCUGGUGUGAGAGCACGACCAGCCACACGGGCACUGAGAUACGGGCCCGACUCCUACGGGAGGCAGCAGUAAGGAAUAUUGGUCAAUGGGCGCAAGCCUGAACCAGCCAUGCCGCGUGAAGGAUGAAGGUCCUCUGGAUUGUAAACUUCUUUUAUCUAUAAAGAAAUGUCCUGAUUCUUCGGGACUUGACGGUAAUAGAUGAAUCAGCACCGGCUAACUCCGUGCCAGCAGCCGCGGUAAUACGGAGGGUGCAAGCGUUAUCCGGAUUCACUGGGUUUAAAGGGUGCGUAGGUUGACCGGGAAGUCAGUGGUGAAAUACUCUCGCUUAACGAGAGAACUGCCGUUGAUACUAUCGGUCUUGAAUACGGUGGUGGCGGGCGGAAUGUGUCAUGUAU